rnacentral:rRNA from 1 species
AGUGAACGCUGGCGGUAGGCCUAACACAUGUAAGUCGAACGGCAGCACAGUAAGAGCUUGCUCUUACGGGUGGCGAGUGGCGGACGGGUGAGGAAUACAUCGGAAUCUACUUUUUCGUGGGGGAUAACGUAGGGAAACUUACGCUAAUACCGCAUACGACCUACGGGUGAAAGCAGGGGAUCUUCGGACCUCGCGCGACUGAAUGAGCCGAUGUCGGAUUAGCUAGUUGGCGGGGUAAAGGCCCACCAAGGCGACGAUCCGUAGCUGGUCUGAGAGGAUGAUCAGCCACACUGGAACUGAGACACGGUCCAGACUCCUACGGGAGGCAGCAGUGGGGAAUAUUGGACAAUGGGCGCAAGCCUGAUCCAGCCAUACCGCGUGGGUGAAGAAGGCCUUCGGGUUGUAAAGCCCUUUUGUUGGGAAAGAAAAGCAGCAGGUUAAUACCCCGCUGUUCUGACGGUACCCAAAGAAUAAGCACCGGCUAACUUCGUG